rnacentral:rRNA from 1 species
GGACGGGCGGCGUGCUAUACAUGCAGUCGAGCGAAUCGGAGGGAGCUUGCUCCCAAAGAUUAGCGGCGGACGGGUGAGUAACACGUGGGCAACCUGCCUGUAAGACUGGGAUAACUUCGGGAAACCGGAGCUAAUACCGGAUAAUCCUUUUCCUCACAUGAGGGAAAGCUGAAAGACGGUUUCGGCUGUCACUUACAGAUGGGCCCGCGGCGCAUUAGCUAGUUGGUGAGGUAACGGCUCACCAAGGCGACGAUGCGUAGCCGACCUGAGAGGGUGAUCGGCCACACUGGGACUGAGACACGGCCCAGACUCCUACGGGAGGCAGCAGUAGGGAAUCUUCCGCAAUGGACGAAAGUCUGACGGAGCAACGCCGCGUGAGCGAAGAAGGCCUUCGGGUCGUAAAGCUCUGUUGUCAGGGAAGAACAAGUGCCGGAGUAACUGCCGGCACCUUGACGGUACCUGACCAGAAAGCCACGGCUAACUACGUGCCAGCAGCCGCGGUAAUACGUAGGUGGCAAGCGUUGUCCGGAAUUAUUGGGCGUAAAGCGCGCGCAGGCGGUCCUUUAAGUCUGAUGUGAAAGCCCACGGCUCACCCGUGCAGGGUCAUUGGAAACUGGGGGACUUGAGUGCAGAGAGGAGAGUGGAAUUCCACGUGUAGCGGUGAAAUGCGUAGAGAUGGUGGGAGGAACACCAGUGGGCGAAGCGACUCUCUGGUCUGUAACUGACGCUGAGCGCGAAAGCGUGGGGGGAGGCGAACAGGAUUAGAAUACCCUGGUAGUCCACGCCCGUAACGAUGAGUGCUAGGUGUUAAGAGGGUUCCGCCCUUAUGGCUGGCAGCAACGCAAUAGCACUCCGCCCUGGGGGGAGUACGCCGCAGGCUGGAACCUCGAAGAUGACUGGGGCCCGCACAAGGCGGUGGAGCAUGUGGAUAUCGAGGCCACCGCGGAGAACUACAGUCUUGACAUCGCUGACAGCUUAAGAAUGGCGUCCCUUCAGGACGAUGAACGUGGUCCAAGAUGUCUCGUA